UGCGCAGGCGGCUGAUUAAGUCUGACGUGAAAACCCCGGGCUUAACCUGGGAAUGGCGUUGGAGACUGGUUGGCUAGAGUGUGUCAGAGGGGGGUAGAAUUCCACGUGUAGCAGUGAAAUGCGUAGAGAUGUGGAGGAAUACCGAUGGCGAAGGCAGCCCCCUGGGAUAACACUGACGCUCAGGCACGAAAGCGUGGGGAGCAAACA
rnacentral:rRNA from 1 species